UUUUCUUCCUUUUUAAGAAUUGUUUUGUAAGGUUUUUAUUUUUUACAAAAUUAUUUAUUUAUUAAGUCUUUGGCAUUAUUAAACAUACAAAAGUGUCUUAGUAAGCUAGCAGUUCACAAAAGUAGAUGCACUCAUACACACAAAUAUACAACACUGUACUUACUCUUCAGUAACCUCUGUGAGGAGAUGAUGCGGCCGAUCAAUCGUAGGGUGGCUACGACUAAGAAAGCAUACUCAACAAACAAAUAACCAAUUGUUUAAUUAAUUGGAAAACAAUACAAAUCGUCCCAGACUCGUCCCACACUCUGAGAAUGUUGUCUUAAUUUUAACUGAACUAUUCAUUCUGUUGCUUAAUAUUUUCUAAUCACUUUCACCUUUUUUGAAGCUUACCUGGAGAGCUCAACUGUUUAAUAAAAUAUUUAGUAAUCUGCUAGCCGGAGUUCGAAAACCACCAUGAACGUAGGCCAGUAUUUCAAGACUCAAAAAUAAGGAUUUAGGUGUUGAAUAUAGUGCACAAUAGGACAUAGCCAGUCCCUUAUUUUUAGGCAACCAAUUUUGGUGUCCUAUCUGUUGCUGUUCUGUUGCCCAAAUUAUGCAUAUGCUCAGACCUCACUUUUUUGUUUCGUUGAUUUCGUUCAAAUGGCCUAAUCGCAUCUGGCGCCAUUAACUCAUAUAUAGUAAUUUUUAUAAUCAUCGUGUGUUGGUGUGCCAAUUUAAACUUUACGAUAGCGAAACUAGCCUGGAAUACAUUUUGUACACUUUAAUGGUCAUAACAACAAAUAAUCACAACUUUUAAAAGUACUCGAGACAAUUAAAUUUAGACCAUUUAUUUCGUGUGAUAGUGGUGCUAUCUGUAGGAUUUUUGGCUUAACAAAUGUCUCAGUGCUUGCCAAAUGUUCACUUAAAUGCAUUGAAAUCAGUUUCUAGCCUCAUGCAAGGCGCAGUUGAUUGAAACUGUUGUUUUUUUGUUACCUAGCUUUAGACACAUUCUGGAAUACGGGUUACGAUUUAAGUUACAUUUUUAUCCCAACAAGGUAGUGCUUAUUCAGUGCCUUACCUGAACGUCUUGAAUGCCACCCUUAAUCUCCAUCUGGACUUCACAUAAAUUAGUCAUGCCAUUCUGCAUUUUUGCAGUUGUACUUUAUAAUUGCUCCCUAGAUGAGGUGGCACCCAUUAGUUCGCUUAGACACCCAACUUCGAAUCCCCCGACCACAUCAAGUGGCUGCCAGAGCAUGGGGCAUGACAAAAAGCUGCCAUAAUUACCGGGAACUUUGAAAGCGUGGGAGUUGUGCGGUUGUGCAUCGUAGUGCAUCGGGAGUAAGCGAGCAGCGCCUGUAACGGGACCGGCGGACCACGUGGCUGCCUCAGGGUGGGCACGUUUGAAAGAAUUCGGCCACAGCAGGGACAUUUCAUACAUUCUGAGUGUGCACGGUUGCUUACAAGUAGCUUUGCAGGGUGCGUGUGCGUUGAACCACCUGAUGAGUCGCGUAGCGAGGAGAAGCAAGGCUGUACACCGGCCUUACCAUUACACACCACCAUGUCGGAUGGCACGCGGAUGGACGGAAUGCAAACACGGAACCACGUGUGGACGACUUCACUCUGUAAAGACAAUCUGCCAGACUAUCUGAAGUGUACGAUCAUGGAGUGAGACAGUCAAGUACUGGAUGAUGGCUGGUGCAGACAUUGUCGUGAAUUCAAGCACAUUAAGUGUCUUGUCAAGGCCGGAGUUACGUGCCUCAUGCCAAGAAGCACGACAAUUGGCACGCAAGACAACUGACUGGGAGUCGAACAGCAUUACGCCUACCCAUGGGCUUUCCACGUAGUAAGAUAUAUGGCGUGUGUUCGUACAAGUUGUUGAACGCGCAUCAUAUGCAUGAAAAAAAACAAUUUAGUGUGCGAGUGUGGAAUGCUCAGGUAACAUUUUUGAUAGUUAAAAAUGGAUGCCAUUAGUGCUCCUAGGUGAUACAUUCAACAUUACAUGUGGUGUGCUCUAACCACUAUUUCUGAAAUUACAUGUACUACACCCUAGUGGUGAAUGAUGCAAGUAAUGCAUGCGAUGCUGGCAUCCUUUGGUCAUAAUUUCUGCCCACCAUAAAAAUACUAGCAAUCCUGGUAGACAUGAUGCAUUCGACUUUACCUAAGUAAUUUGAAUACCAUCAGCAUAAUUUUAUAAAUAAUUUCACCUCCCCUUACCUUUCCUUACCCCGACUUUUCCAACUUCCUCCCUUGUCUUUCCUCUCCCCUUCAUUCACCUUUUCCUCCCAAUUAAUUUAAAUAUUCAUAUCAUUAAUUUUAUAUAUUAUAAUUUAACUUCCCCCCACUCUUUUUCUUCCCCUUCCAUUCCCAUGUUUAUGUACCUUAUUUACUUAAAUUGAGUUUGUGGCCAAAUGUAUAAAGUGCUUGCUUCCCAAUAUCGCAGGAGUGAUCAUUGAUCAAGCCCCAGCCACCACACACAUAUUUAAAAAAAAUUAUAAUAACACCCAGCAAAUCUGGUGCUACCUUUUGGCGAACCUCUCAACUAACUGUGAUGUAAUUCAAGAUGACAUCAUCUAAAGAUAGCCAAUAACAACACACAUUAGUAACAUCCACCUCCCAACUUCUCAACUACAUUCAGAAGGGGAGAGAGGGAAUUAAAAAAAAGUGAUUUGUGAAAGAGUUUGUUCAGAGGGGAGUGGGUGGAGGGGAGUUAACCUGUGAGAUACAACAAUAUAUCAUAACAAUCAUAACAGAAAAUUGAAUUAAUAAAAAAAAUAAA